UACGGAGGGUGCGAACGUUGUUCGGAAUCACUGGGCGUAAAGCGCGUGUAGGCGGCACGGCAAGUCAGAUGUGAAAGCCCUCGGCUCAACCGGGGAAGUGCAUUUGAAACUGCCGAGCUGGAGUACGGGAGAGGGUUGUAGAAUUCCCGGUGUAGAGGUGAAAUUCGUAGAUAUCGGGAGGAAUACCAGUGGCGAAGGCGGCAACCUGGACCGAUACUGACGCUGAGACGCGAAAGCGUGGGGAGCAAACAGG
rnacentral:rRNA from 1 species